rnacentral:rRNA from 1 species
GCUGGAUAUGAAAGUGGCGCACGGGUGCGUAACGCGUAUGCAACCUACCUUUAUCUGGGGGAUAGCCCGGAGAAAUCCGGAUUAAUACCGCAUAAAAUCACAGGAUGGCAUUAUCCAAUGAUCAAACAUUUAUGGGAUGAAGAUGGGCAUGCGUGUCAUUAGCUAGUUGGCGGGGUAACGGCCCACCAAGGCGACGAUGACUAGGGGAUCUGAGAGGAUGGCCCCCCACACUGGUACUGAGACACGGACCAGACUCCUACGGGAGGCAGCAGUAAGGAAUAUUGGUCAAUGGAGGCAACUCUGAACCAGCCAUGCCGCGUGCAGGAAGACUGCCCUAUGGGUUGUAAACUGCUUUUAUCCGGGAAUAAACCUGCUUACGUGUAAGUAGCUGAAUGUACCGGAAGAAUAAGGAUCGGCUAACUCCGUGCCAGCAGCCGCGGUAAUACGGAGGAUCCAAGCGUUAUCCGGAUUUAUUGGGUUUAAAGGGUGCGUAGGCGGCCUGUUAAGUCAGGGGUGAAAGACGGUAGCUCAACUAUCGCAGUGCCCUUGAUACUGAUGGGCUUGAAUGGACUAGAGGUAGGCGGAAUGAGACAAGUAGCGGUGAAAUGCAUAGAUAUGUCUCAGAACACCGAUUGCGAAGGCAGCUUACUAUGGUCUUAUUGACGCUGAGGCACGAAAGCGUGGGGAUCAAACAGGAUUAGAUACCCUGGUAGUCCACGCCCUAAACGAUGAACACUCGCUGUUGGCGAUACACAGUCAGCGGCUAAGCGAAAGCGUUAAGUGUUCCACCUGGGGAGUACGCUCGCAA